rnacentral:rRNA from 1 species
UACGGAGGGUGCGAGCGUUGUUCGGAAUCACUGGGCGUAAAGGGCGUGUAGGCGGUCCGCUAAGUCUGAUGUGAAAGCCCGGGGCUCACCCCCGGAAGGGCAUUGGAAACUGACGGACUCGAGUCCCGAAGAGGAGGGUGGAAUUCCUGGUGUAGCGGUGAAAUGCGCAGAUAUCAGGAAGAACACCCGUGGCGAAGGCGGCUCUCUGGGACGGUACUGACGCUGAGACGCGAAAGCGUGGGGAGCGAACAGG